UACGAAGGGGGCUAGCGUUGUUCGGAAUUACUGGGCGUAAAGCGCGCGUAGGUUGUCGUGCAAGUCAGUGGUGAAAUCCCGGAGCUUAACUUCGGAACUGCCAUUGAAACUGCUCGACUAGAAUCUCAGAGGGGAUAGCGGAAUUCCAAAUGUAGGGGUGAAAUCCGUAGAUAUUUGGAGGAACACCGGUGGCGAAGGCGGCUCACUGGCCCGAUUCUGACGCUGAGGCACGAAAGCGUGGGGAGCAAACAGG
rnacentral:rRNA from 1 species